GCUGGGAUAGCUCAGUCGGUACAGCAUGAGGCUCUUAAUCUCAUUUGGCAUCAGGUGCAGAAACUGAUAUUCUGAGAAUCUCAGUU